UUACGGCCAUAUCACGUUGAAACACCGGUUCUCGUGCGGUUACUGAAGUUAAGCAACGUCGAACCUGAUCAGUACCUAGAUGAAUAACUGCUUGGGAAUACCAGGUACUGUAA